rnacentral:lncRNA from 12 species
GGAAACUGCCAUUAGCAGUGACCUCAUUUCAGUAAGUAUACAAGGAUCAGGAAGGUUUGAGGAUUUUUAGACUGUUUUUGCUUGAUAGGUGAUGAUAAGAGAUGCAGUUAUUGUUUCAUGAGCAGGAACAGGCAGAUUCAGUGAAGCUUGAUGUCAUGUGGCGCCCAUCACUUCCCAAACGAGGCUGGGAAACCAGACUAUGAUUGCCCAGAUCCUGAUGAUUACUGUGAGGUUUGUAUGGAUGUAACUGAUGCAUGCAAUUUACUUGAGGACAUUUCCUUCUGCAGAACAUUUCAUGAAUUGCCGCUGAUGCGAAUGUUUUCUAUGCCUGAUUAAAAGAUGAUAACUGUGAAUAAAUAAAAAGCACUCAGUGUUCAUAGUCAAAUUUCACGCAGCUGAUAAAGAGAUGCUAGAACCACAAUAAGGCCGACGUUUGAGCAGCUGAAAAAGAUUCUCGAUAUAAUGAAACCACACAAGGUCAGCCCUGUGGAUAUGAUGAUGAACCUGUCAUGUUACCGAAACCAGUGGCUGAUGAUCUUCGUCACAGAUGCACAGCAGAAGCCCAAAGUUACUCCAACACCACUCUAUAUUUCAGGCCCUGUUGUAGCUGGGGUGGUUGGCACCAAAAUGUCAAGAUAGCCUACUGCUUAUUUGGCAACACUGUAAACACAGCGUCCCGUAUGGAGUCCACCAGUGAAGGUAUUUGGGCAAACGCAGCUGUUUACACAGCGUCAGUUAGUAACUGAUCCUGUCUGACAUUUCCGGGGGAAUGGAAUCUUGUAAAUAUUUGCAAUGAUUUGUUGGUUAAAAUGUGAUAAAAUCGAAUGAUGCAUCCAAAUAUUUCCCUUUCUUGAACUUCUGUGGAGAUUAAAAGAUAAAGCUAACCAAAAAUCUCUUGGGUGUCAUGGAUCAUUAUUAAACAAUUUUCAGGCUUUUAUAUGUGUUAUUGUUGUUUUUUUCAUGUUUACAGAUUUAAAGAUGCAGUGCAGUGGUUCUACAGCAGAUCAUCUACACACACUUGGUGGAUAUGUGCUGAUGUGUCUUGGGUCUCUCUAUGUGAAGGUAGGAUGGGCCAUUCAUUGCUUAUACAGUAAUUGAUUGUAUAUGUAUAAGUUUCUUGUGGAAAUGCAAGAGUUUUUCGACAUAACGCAAACAUAUCACGAGAGAUUAA